GCUGGGCGUGGUGGCGCACGCCUGUAAUCCCAGCUACUAGGGAGGCUGAGGAGGGAGGAUUGCUUAAGCCUGGGAGGUCAAGGCUGCAGUGAGCCAUGAUCAAGCCACUGUACUUUAGCCUGGGUGUCAGAGAGAGACCCCAUCUCAA
ensembl:misc_RNA Metazoa_SRP Metazoan signal recognition particle RNA